UAGAAAACAAUGGUAACACCGGUUGCAGAGGCUGCUUUGCAUUAAUUAUUGAUAAAUUAAUUUCAUCCUGGUGGCCAUUUCUUUGGUAUUUAAUGCAUUAUUAUGGUUGCAAAAGUGUAUAAAAAUGAAGUAGUAUUGAUCAAUGCAGAAACAGUGUAGUUUCACCAGACAGUGUUUGUCAAAGAAGCAUCUAUACACUAUACAACUGUAACUCUGGCAGUAAACAUUCAAGUGUCAAUAUGUUUAUAGGCCAAUGUGUGUUCAUAUUAUUUGCGUUGUCAGGAUGUUUGGGUGAGAAUAUUCAUAUCGGAGCAGUAUUAAGUAGCCCAGAAAAUCAGCUUCUCCUGAAGGACUACGCAGACAAGGCCACAGCUAGAAAAACAAGCAAAGAUUUUGGCCUAACAUUCAAUGCCUCGUCCCUUCUUAUGGACAGUAAUCCUGUAAGAUCUGCAUUAUCAAUUUGUGAUAAUUUGAUAACGAAAAAGGUGCAGGUUAUAAUCGCUAGUCAUCCAGCAGCGAGUGCUCAGUCUCCAAUAUCAGUGUCAUAUACAUGCGGUUACUAUGGGAUACCAUUGAUAGGCAUCUAUGCAAGGGAUAGCGCCUUUUCGGACAAGAAUGUACACUCAACAUUUAUGAGGACAGUCCCCCCAUACUUCCAUCAAGCGUAUGUAUGGAUUGAUCUACUUGUCCACUAUGAUUGGAAGCAAGUUAUAUUUAUACACAGUAUGGAUGAGGAAGGACGGUCUAUUCUCAGCAAGUUUCAGGCCCUGGCUGAAGAACAAGAGAUCAAGAUUGAGAAGAGUGUGAAAUUUUCCGUAGGACUCGUCAACUUUACGGACUUAUUAUUAGACCUGCCACAAGCUCAGUCUCGGGUGAUACUUCUCUCUGCUGGAAAAGAAGAUGCUGAGCAUUUAUAUCAUGAUGCCAGUGAACUUGAGUUGACAACUGAUUCUGAUUUUGUUUGGCUGGUAUCUGAAGAAGCCAUGUCGGCAUACAAUGUACCUGUGGGUGUAAUAGGCCUACAGUUGAUAAACGGCACCAAUGAAGCAGCUCAUCUAGAGGAUAGUGUCAGUUUGAUAGCCAACACAGUGACAGAUCUUUUCUUGGGAGGUAACUUAAGCCUGUCAGAAACACCAGAAAACUGUUCCAGGCGAAUGGACAGUAAAUGGGAACAGGGGAUUAAUCUUUUAGAGCACAUCAAGAAACAGGAUGUAGAUGGGCAGACUGGUCGUCUCAGCUUUAAUGAAGAAGGGGACAGGCUGAAUCCCAUUUACUGGAUCAAAAAUGUUCAACCUGAAGGCACUUUUGUUGUGGGUUACCAUGGAAACAAACAAGGCACAGAGGAUAAAAAGUUGUCUUUUGGCAACACAGCCAUUCUGUGGCCAUCCCAAGAUACAAAGAAACCUAAAGGAAUAAAGAUUUCUACACAUUUAAAGGUUGUGACUAUAGAGUCAAAGCCAUUUGUUUAUAAGGCCCUUUGGUUGAAUGAGGAGGAGUGUUAUAAAAAGGAAGGGAUACAGUGUUCUCAUACUAACUCUAGCACAGGAGAGACAACUACGCAUUGUUGCUAUGGUUACUGUAUGGAGAUGCUGCACAUGUUGGCAGCAAGAGUUAACUUCACAUUUGAUCUUCACCUUAGUACAGAUGAUUCGUUUGGAUCUUUUAAAAGGGUUAAUAAUGGGACAAAGAAAGAAUGGACUGGAAUGGUUGGUGAACUGGUUAAUGAACAGUCUGAUCUUGUUGUGGCCCCAUUAACUAUUAACCCAGAGAGAGCCCAGGCUAUAGAUUUCUCAAAACCAUUUAAAUACCAAGGUCUAACAAUCCUUGUGAAAAAGGAACAAAAAGAUUCUAGCCUAGCAUCCUUCUUGCAACCAUUCCAAGAUACGCUGUGGAUUCUUGUUGGUUUGUCCGUGCAUGUAGUGGCUCUUGUGCUAUACCUGCUUGACCGGUUCAGUCCUUUCGGUCGAUUCAAGCUUGCCAAGAACGAUGACACAGAGGAAGAUGCCUUGAAUCUAUCCAGUGCAAUGUGGUUUGCCUGGGGAGUGCUUCUCAAUAGUGGUAUAGGAGAAGGAACCCCCAGGAGUUUCAGUGCACGUGUUCUUGGAAUGGUUUGGGCUGGAUUUGCUAUGAUUAUUGUGGCUUCUUACACUGCCAACUUGGCUGCCUUCCUCGUGCUUGACCGACCAGAUGCUUCCAUUUCUGGUAUUGAUGACUCCAGGCUUCGUAACCCGAAUGAGAAUUUCCGAUAUGCUACAGUGAAGGACAGUGCUGUUGAAAUGUACUUUAAGCGACAGGUUGAACUGUCUACAAUGUAUCGUAAAAUGGAGGAAUACAAUUAUAACAAUGCCGAUGAUGCAAUAAAUGAUGUCAAAGAAGGAGUCAAAUUACAAGCUUUUAUCUGGGAUUCGUCUCGUCUGGAGUAUGAAGAUGCUAAUGACUGUGACCUUGUGGUGGCUGGGGAAUUGUUUGGGAGGUCUGGACUUGGGGUUGGACUGAGGAAGGGAAGCCCAUGGACACACCCAAUUUCAUUGUCAAUCUUGGAACUGCAUGAGGGAGGGCAAAUGGAGAAAUUAGACAAUAAAUGGAUAUUGAUUGAAAGUACAGAAUGUCCUGAAAGAGAUCAUACCCCAGCUACAUUAGGACUGACGAACAUGGCUGGUGUCUUUAUGAUGGUUGCUGGAGGCAUUGUUGCAGGGGUGUUUCUCAUUUUUGUUGAGAUCCUCUACAAAAGACACAGAGGUUUGAAAGAAAAGGAACUGGAACUAGCCAGAAAUGCUGCUGACAGAUGGAGAGGAAAUAUUGCUUGAUGAAGUAUAUGUCUUUGAAGUGUCAUAUUGGUACAUGGUAGCAUUCAGAUGUCUGGAAACGCAAAACAUUACGACAGACGAUGCAAAAUCAACGCGAGACCCUGAACCGAGUGAAUUCAGUGGCAAAGACAGGAGCAAUAGACAAUAACAGCACACUGAAUGCUGGGAUACAUAGAUCUAGUCUGAGACAGCC
rnacentral:misc_RNA from 1 species